UGUCGCCAACCCCGCAGGCUGCCGCCUCGCGCCGCCCCGAGGGGGAGCUCCCGGGCGGCGGAGAGAAUGGGGAGCAGGGAAGCCAGCCCAGGGCAAGACGCCCGAUGAUGGUAGAACUGACUGGAGCGCGGGAAGCUGGCGGAUUGCCGCUACCAACCUUCGCAGAGGAGGACAGUGGGGCUUCAAAAUGAUCACCAAGGUCGGAAGCCAGCCGGAAAGACGGAAGAUAUUUGAUGAGGUUUCCAAGAAAAUUAUUCAAAUUACGUGUCAGUGCACAGGACCACAAAAAUUUUGUGACAAGCAAGAACCAAACCCCGCGUAUCUCACCAAUUCGGAAGCGUCCACUAACCACACUCUGCAGAGGCACCCUCUAUGUUGAAAUUGAUGACUAAUUCCAUCAAAGCAUUGAUGAGGCCCAGUUCUAACAGUCUGUUCGUAUCUACUCCAUGAGUGACACAUCUGGAGAUUUUCCACUGCCUGAAAGCUGCCUCGCGCCUAACCAUGUUUUUCUAUGGGUCUCGUGUGAAGAAGAAUCUCCAUUGGGUGAACGAGUUGACAGCGUUGCAUGAGAACCUUGGCGUCUGAUAUUCACACCUGCUUGUGAAACAAACUACCGAGUGUUUCAAUUACCCUCUGACCUUAGAAAAAUGGAGGCUUCUAAUUUGAGCUGUUGCUAGUCUUAAGCAAACAGCUUCUGCAGUUUUACACAACACUCUUGCUAGCCAAAGGAAGAAAAGUGUUGAGGUUUUUUUUUUCCCCCUGUGUGCAAAAGUUAGAAACAAUUUUCACUUUCAUUUCAGACUAUGAAAGCCGAGUCACAGCCAUAGCCACCCUCAUUGAGAUCUAGUUCUACCUGCAUCGGCAGGGUUACUCUUCAUGUGCGUCAGAGUAGAACCCAUCACUGGUUCUGGAUUCCAGUGGAAAGGUAUGAAUUAAAGUAAGCAGGGGCCAUAGCGAUGUGGCCAGCAAAGUUCUUGCUCAACAAGCAUGCUCACCAAGUUCAAAGCCAACACCUAUAUUUAAAAAACUGGGACCAAGCAUUCUGGAGCAUGACUUUAACCCCUAUACUCAGAAGAUAGAGGUAGAUGUUAUCUCUGUGAGUUUAAGGUCAACCUGCUCUACAUAUGGAGUUCCAGGACAACCCGGGACUACAUAGAGGGACCCUGCCUCAAACAAACAGAAAUAACGACAAACAAGACAUGCCAGCCCUGGGGCUGGAGAGAUGAGUCUUCAGUUUAGAGCACGGGCCUCUCUCACAUAGGACUUGGGUUCCAUUCUAGCAUCACUACGGCAGCUUACAACCACCUGUAACUCUAGUUCCAGGGACUCUGACGCUCUCUCCUGGCUCCUGCAGUAACCAGGAUCACAUGUAGUACACAUGUAUACAUGUAGGCAAAACAUUCAUAAAGUAAGCAAAUGAUUUGUAAAAUUCAAAGUGAGUCGUCAGAGUCCUGUGAACCUGUAGGGUCAGUGUUGGAGAGGCAGAGAUAGGUUAGACCCUGGGUCUUGGUAGGUAGCUGGUCUAGCCAACACAGGAAGCUCCUGACUUAUCGAGAGAGCCUGUCUCAAUGCAUAAGAGGGGUGGGUACUGCCAAAAUGGCCGAUCAGGUAAAGGGGUUUGUCACCAAGCCUGAGGGCCUGCGCUGGAUCCCCAAGACACACAUGAUGGAAGAAGAGAAACAGCCCCCCCCCCCAAGUUAUCCUCUGACUACCCUAUAGCAUGAGUACACCUACAUUUAUUCAUGUACAAGCAAAUAAAUAUAAUAAACAAUUUUAAUAAAGAAAAAGGAUGGAAAGCA